rnacentral:rRNA from 1 species
CCUACGGGGGGCUGCAGUGGGGAAUAUUGCACAAUGGGGGAAACCCUGAUGCAGCGACGCCGCGUGAAGGAAGAAGUACUUCGGUAUGUAAACUUCUAUCAGCAGGGAAGAAAAUGACGGUACCUGACUAAGAAGCCCCGGCUAACUACGUGCCAGCAGCCGCGGUAUUACGGCGGGGGGAAGCGUUAUCCGGAAUUACUGGGGGUAAAGGGAGCGUAAGCGGUUUAGCAAGUCCGAAGUUAAAGCCCGGGGCCCAACCCCGGGACUGCUUUUGAAACUGUUGAACUAGAUUGCAGGAGAGGUAAGUGGAAUUCCUAGUGUAGCGGUGAAAUGCGUAGAUAUUAGGAAGAACACCAGUGGCGAAGGCAGCUUACUGGACCGUAACUGACGCUGAGGCACGAAAGCGUGGGGAGCAAACAGGAUUAGAUACCCGUGUAGUC